UACGUAGGGGGCAAGCGUUGUCCGGAUUUAUUGGGCGUAAAGAGCGUGUAGGCGGCCAGACAGGUCAGCUGUGAAAACUCGAGGCUCAACCUCGAGACGCCGAUGGAAACCAUGUGGCUAGAGUCCGGAAGAGGAGAGUGGAAUUCCUGGUGUAGCGGUGAAAUGCGCAGAUAUCAGGAAGAACACCCGUGGCUAAGGCGGCUCUCUAGUACGGUACUGACGCUGAGACGCGAAAGCGUGGGGAGCGAACAGG
rnacentral:rRNA from 1 species